CCCGAAUCUUCAUCAGUGCUAAUAAUAUGAAGCAUAUAUUAUUAUUAUAUGCUUCAUAUUAUUAGCACUGAUGAAGAUCCGGG